GCACCGAAAGCCUAAGGGUUCCUGAGGAAGGCUCGUCCGCUCAGGGUUAGUCGGGACCUAAGCCGAGGCCGAAAGGCGUAGGCGAUGGACAACAGGUAGAGAUUCCUGUACCACCUCCUCACCGUUUGAGCAAUGGGGGGACGCAGGAAGGUAGGGAGAGCAGGCUGCUGGAAUAGCCUGUCCAAGCGGUUAGGCGGCCAGAUAGGCAAAUCCGUCUGGCAUA
rnacentral:rRNA from 14 species